rnacentral:rRNA from 1 species
AGUGAACGCUGGCGGUAGGCCUAACACAUGCAAGUCGAACGGCAGCACAGUAAGAGCUUGCUCUUACGGGUGGCGAGUGGCGGACGGGUGAGGAAUACAUCGGAAUCUACUUUUUCGCGGGGGAUAACGUAGGGAAACUUACGCUAAUACCGCAUACGGCCUACGGGUGAAAGCAGGGGAUCUUCGGACCUUGCGCGAUUGAAUUAGCCGAUGUCGGAUUAGCUAGUUGGCGGGGUAAAGGCCCACCAAGGCGACGAUCCGUCGCUGGUCUGAGAGGAUGAUCAGCCACACUGGAACUGAGACACGGUCCAGACUCCUACGGGAGGCAGCAGUGGGGAAUAUUGGACAAUGGGCGCAAGCCUGAUCCAGCCAUACCGCGUGGGUGAAGAAGGCCUUCGGGUUGUAAAGCCCUUUUGUUGGGAAAGAAAAGCAGCAGGUUAAUACCCCGCUGUUCUGACGGUACCCAAAGAAUAAGCACCGGCUAACUUCGUG